rnacentral:rRNA from 1 species
UACAGAGGUCUCAAGCGUUUGUUCGGAUUCAUUGGGCGUAAAGGGUGCGUAGGCGGCGCGGUAAGUCGGGUGUGAAAUCUCGGAGCUUAACUCCGAAACUGCAUUCGAUACUGCCGUGCUUGAGGACUGGAGAGGAGACUGGAAUUUACGGUGUAGCGGUGAAAUGCGUAGAUAUCGUAAGGAAGACCAGUGGCGAAGGCGGAUCUCUGGACAGUUACUGACACUGAGGCACGAAGGCCAGGGGGAGCAAA